CUAGUGGUGGACUCCAUUUCUCAGCAGAAAGCCGUCCCCUUCACCUCCACCUCAACAACACUGGAUACACUUUACAUAGGAGGGACAAGAAAGCAGAACCGAGCCCCCGUGCGCUCGCCAUUUGUAGGCUGCUUACGAAAUGUGAAGCUUAAUGGAAGACCGGUUGCAUUUGAGACAGGAUCCAGGGUGGUUGACCCUGUCAGCAUUAAUAGUUGCCCUGCAGACUAAGGCCGUGUCAUUAACGGGUGACACGCAAACUUCUUUAACCGCACAGACCCUUUGGCAUCAUUAAAAAGUCAUAUUAUGCAGACAGGCUUAGGUAAAAACCCACAGAAAUUAAUUUGAAAUUCUAUUAGGCAAGCACAGUCCCCCGUAAUAUAAUGUUGCUACACCUUUCAACUUUUCCAGUUUUGCACAGUACAUGUGCAGUUUAUAACGAUUACAUGUCAGAUUUACCACUCAAAGUAAGUAAGCCUUAGUCAAACUAAAUUUAGAAACAAAGGUCCUGAAUUCAGUCACAGGAAGACAAACACAGGCUUCUCAUUUCUAGCUGGCGACCGUUUAAUGUGUCAGCUGAAAUAACAUCUAUUGCUAGUAAAUUUAACCAACUGUAGCCAGCUAAUUAAGCUAAUGUUAACUUAAUGAGUUGGUUGAAAACGACAUCUUCAGUUGGCUUUUUAAUGAUUAAAGAUGACUUUAAAAUGAGAA